CAUGCACCAGUGGGGUCCCUCGGCCUGGCCUACAGAAAUCGUGCCGAAACUGGCAGUCCAGCAUCCACCGAGGGGCCCCGGAUUGCGAGAGGGUGCAGGCCAGGCUGAGGGACCCCACUGGUGCACA
rnacentral:pre_miRNA from 1 species